UGCCGAUGAUGAAGAAAAUGGUAUUUUUGUGAUUUAUGACAAUUGAUGAUUACAUAUACCUCUACUGCCUUCCUUCAGAGGCU
rnacentral:snoRNA from 1 species